UUUAAAGUCUAAUCUGCCCUAUGAGUAAUUAAAUGGCCGCGGUACUCUGACCGUGCAAAGGUAGCAUAAUAAUUAGUUUUUUAAUUGAAAGCUGGAAUGAAUGAUUGGACGAGAAAAUUACUGUCUCAAUUUAAUUUUAUUAGAAUUUUAUUUUUAAGUAAGAAAGCUUAAAUUUUGUUAAAAGACGAGAAGACCCUAUAGAGUUUUAUAAUUAUUUUAUUAUUGGUUUUUUAGAAUUAUUUUAUUAAUAAUAAAUUAAUUAUUUUAUUGGGGCGAUAGAGAAAUAUAAUUAACUUUUUUUAAAUUUUAACAUUAAUUUAUGUUUAAAUGAUCCAUUAAUUAUGAUUAAAAGAUUAAGUUACCUUAGGGAUAACAGCGUAAUUUUUUUUUAGAGUUCUUAUCGAAAGAAAAGGUUGCGACCUCGAUGUUGGAUUAAAAUUAAUAUUUGGUGUAGGAGCUAAAUUAUUAGGUCUGUUCGACCUUUAAAAUUUUACA
rnacentral:rRNA from 1 species